rnacentral:lncRNA from 12 species
CCCCCCCCCCCCCCCCCCCCCCCCCCCCCCCCCCCCCCCCCCCCCCCCCCCCCCCCCCCCCCCCCCCCCCCCCCGCGCUCGCCCCCGCCCGCCCCGCCGAGCUGGAGCUGCAGCUGCAGCGCGCCGGGGGCGCCCGCGGCCGCCACGCCGAGCCCGGCAGGAUCUGUUGAAGACACGACUAUUGAUGUUACUGCCCCAAAAAGUGGGGGAAAUGCUGCAAAAUAUGGAAAGAGAUUCUCUACUCAAGACAUGAGGAUUCUCUCAUUGUGGAAUAAUCUCUGCAAGCAUUGUGGACUCUCCAUAAAAUGGACACGUGGAGCCAUAUCUCUGCCAAAUGCACCUAUUUCAGUGUUGGACUGGAUAUGCCUUGAAAUGGUGAAAAUAGAUCCCAAAAAAUCUUUUUAAGUAGUGAAAGCUAAAAAAGAAUUGAACCUGGUUCGCCGAAAAAUCACUGCAGCUUGUCAAAGAGUUGGUUUUAUUUUUUUUUGUUUGAAUUAUUAUUAUUUUUAAUAACCUGGACGGUUUGGAUAAAAAGCUCUUGCACAAUGAAAAGCUCUUGCACUGUUUUUUACCAAGGUCUGGAAGUUAAACUUACUGUGAAUUUUUAUAAUGCCAGUGCAAUACUUUUGUUUGUAAGGGUGCUUUUAAAAUGUCUAUAUUAAACUGUGGAUGCAAAGCUGCAAAUGUAGAAAUUGAUCAUAGUGUAAAUACACAAUUUACAGUGUCUCUUGUAAAGUUUCAUUGUUAUUUUGAAAUAACCCGGAAUCUGAGAUUUUAUAAGUAGAUGAAUAACACCAGUGAUGUUGGCUUACAAGUACAUUCUUUGUAGUUACGAAUGAUGUAAUAUGAUGACUCUCCCAAGAGGCAUUUUUAGUCCAGUGAUGUUGGAAAUUAUGUUCUUAAUGCUGAAGCAUUUGAGGGAGGGAACAUGACCAAAAGGAACCCUGUUGAUUAUCAAGUACUCCAAGGUGUUAACAACAUUAAAACAUUAACAAACAGUAUCUGGGAAAAGAUUUCUACUAAUGCUAGUAAUACCUAAAUUGCGCUAAUGAUAAAAUUGUGUGUAGAAAUUCCUCCUGAGUUCUUCUGGUUUUGAACUAACACUAAGAGUUUGAUGCAACCAUCAGCAAAUACUGGUAGGUCUUAAUGCACAAAUUCAAUGCACAAUUGUUCUAUGCCACACCUCAUUGAAUACUAGAGGUGGAAUUAAGGAAAUAUUUACUAAGAACACUGUGGCUGUACUUCCUUGUGAACUCUUGAAACGUCUUUGUGUUUUCUUGUAAAAUUACUGGAGUAACUUUUUUUCUAUGCAUAUUCUCAUUUUAAAAUAUUUUCUGAAUGCUCUAUCUUUCAGCAAAUUCAGAAGAACACUAAAGGUCUGCAAUGUGAUUUUUCCUUUACUAUCUGCAGUUUUUAGGAGGUGUGUGCAAUUUGUUUCCUCCUUUUAAUAGAAUUGCAAUGUGACACCACUGUAGUGUUACAAUGGUCUGAUUUUAAAAAACCAAACAAGCUCCUCCCUUAAAACCUGUAGGUCAGUUUUCAUAUGCAAGAUUUUUUUUUUAAUUUCCUUGUUCUGAAUAGAUGUCUUAAAACCUGUAGGUCAGUUUUCAUAUGCAAGUUUUUUUUAAUUUCCUUGUUCUGAAUAGAUGCUUUUUCUGAUUCCUCAUCGUUUAACUUACGAAGUGAAUUAUGAUAUAUGGUGUUUAAUAAGUGGAAUGAUUAGUAACAGCUAUAAAUUAAGUCAUGACUCAUACAUGUAUUUCACAUACUUAUUCUGUGAAAACCAAAAUUUUCUAUUCAAGUGUUGCAAUAAUAAUUACUAGAGUGAAUUGAGCAUGCCUUUGCAUUCCUUGUAUAUUAUAAUGUAAUUAAUCCAAUAUCAGUAUUUAAUGAUUGUUGCAUAAGAUGGUAGCUAGAGUGCAACUUCACAUAACAAAGGUUAUGUGGAAUUCCAACUAGUUUACUAAUAUG